GGGUUGUGAGGUUAAGCGACUAAGCGUACACGGUGGAUGCCCUGGCAGUCAGAGGCGAUGAAGGGCGUGCUAAUCUGCGAUAAGCGCCGGUAAGGUGAUAUGAACCGUUAUAACCGGCGAUACCCGAAUGGGGAAACCCAGUGUGAUUCGUCACACUAUCAUUAACUGAAUCCAUAGGUUAAUGAGGCGAACCGGGGGAACUGAAACAUCUAAGUACCCCGAGGAAAAGAAAUCAACCGAGAUUCCCCCAGUAGCGGCGAGCGAACGGGGAGGAGCCCAGAGCCUGAAUCAGCAUGUGUGUUAGUGGAAGUGUCUGGAAAGGCGCGCGAUACAGGGUGACAGCCCCGUACACAAAAGCGCAUGUGCUGUGAGCUCGAUGAGUAGGGCGGGACACGUGGUAUCCUGUCUGAAUAUGGGGGGACCAUCCUCCAAGGCUAAAUACUCCUGACUGACCGAUAGUGAACCAGUACCGUGAGGGAAAGGCGAAAAGAACCCCGGCGAGGGGAGUGAAAAAGAACCUGAAACCGUGUACGUACAAGCAGUGGGAGCACAGGUUUACCUGUGUGACUGCGUACCUUUUGUAUAAUGGGUCAGCGACUUAUAUUCUGUAGCAAGGUUAACCGAAUAGGGGAGCCGGAGGGAAACCGAGUCUUAAUUGGGCGUUAAGUUGCAGGGUAUAGACCCGAAACCCGGUGAUCUAGCCAUGGGCAGGUUGAAGGUUGGGUAACACUAACUGGAGGACCGAACCGACUAAUGUUGAAAAAUUAGCGGAUGACCUGUGGCUGGGGGUGAAAGGCCAAUCAAACCGGGAGAUAGCUGGUUCUCCCCGAAAGCUAUUUAGGUAGCGCCUCGUGAACUCAUCUCCGGGGGUAGAGCACUGUUUCGGCUAGGGGGCCAUCCCGGCUUACCAACCCGAUGCAAACUGCGAAUACCGGAGAAUGUUAUCACGGGAGACACACGGCGGGUGCUAACGUCCGUCGUGAAGAGGGAAACAACCCAGACCGCCAGCUAAGGUCCCAAAGUCAUGGUUAAGUGGGAAACGAUGUGGGAAGGCCCAGACAGCCAGGAUGUUGGCUUAGAAGCAGCCAUCAUUUAAAGAAAGCGUAAUAGCUCACUGGUCGAGUCGGCCUGCGCGGAAGAUGUAACGGGGCUAAACCAUGCACCGAAGCUGCGGCAGCGAACGUAUCACCCAAGACAACUUUACGGAGUUGACGAUUGACGGAGCGAAGCGACGUCAAAGCGUAUACAAAGUCGAGUUGGCUUAGGGAUACGUU
rnacentral:rRNA from 1 species